GUGCUGUGUUUAAGCUGCACCCCUGCUGUCUGCAUUAGCGUCUCCUUAGAGCAACAAAUGAGCUCCAAAUAAAUAAGGAAGCAUCCAGAAACUUCCGAUUCUCUUCCAGUUACAUAAUUGGCUUAUUACCAUUGCCUGUGCUGCCUGUGAGGAGCUAACUUCUCCCUCGGCAGGAUGCCCAAGACAUGUAAUAACGAGCACAGUGCAGCCUCUCUACCACCACCACUCUCCUCACUUCCUUUCCACCACAAUGGACUCCAAACCACCUUCAAAUGAUCAGAGCAGGUCUUCACACCUGCAUAGGCUCCUCGCUCUCACAGACCAAAGGAAAAUAUCAUCCUUUAUAUAAGACCCAUCUUUCCUGGAGAUGUAGACAAAGGAGGAUGAAUAAGAAGAGAAUAAGCAAACUGAGUAGACAUGGAGGUGCACCUGUAGUUCCAGCACUCAGAAUGUGGAGGCAAGAGGACUGCAAGUUCAAGGCUACAUGGCAAGUUUUAGGCUAACGUGGGCUCUGUGCCCAGACUGCCUCAAAAUAAAUUAGUGAAUGAGAAAUUAUAACUUAUAAAGUUCUGAAGGAAACUUUAAACUGGAUAAAGUAAUAUAGUUGGUGUCUGGCAAGAGUGGCCAGUAAAACCUGCUAGAAGAGAGGACUUUUGGCUGAAUGUCCUCAAGUGUGCCAAGAUAUGAGGCAGAAUAGUUCCCAUAGAUGAUUGAACUGGGCAGAGCCCAGGACCUGAGCUUCGGUUGAUAGAAGAGA